rnacentral:rRNA from 1 species
CCUACGGGGCGCAGCAGUGAGGAAUAUUGGUCAAUGGGCGUAAGCCUGAACCAGCCACGUCGCGUGAGGGAUGAAGGUUCUCUGGAUCGUAAGCCUCUUUUAUAAGGGAAUAAAGUGCGGGACGUGUCCAGUUUUGUAUGUACCUUAUGAUGACAGAUCGGCUAACUCCGUGCAGGCAGCCGCGGUAAUACGGAGGAUCCGGGCGUUAUCCGGAUUUAGUGGGUUUAAGGGGUGCGAUGGCGGCCUUGUAAGUCAGCGGUGAAAGUCUGUGGCUCAACCAUAGAAUUGCCGUUGAAACUGGGAGGCGUGAGUAUGUGUGAGGCAGGCGGAAUGCGUGGUGUAGCGGUGAAAUGCUUAGAUAUCACGCAGAACCCCGAUUGCGAAGGCAGCCUGCCAAGCCAUGACUGACGCUGAUGCACGAAAGCGUGGGGAUCAAACAGGAUUAGAUACCCGGGUAGUC